rnacentral:rRNA from 1 species
AACGAACGCUGGCGGCAGGCCUAACACAUGCAAGUCGAGCGCCCCGCAAGGGGAGCGGCGGACGGGUGAGUAACGCGUGGGAAUAUGCCCUCUGCUACGGAAUAGUCUCGGGAAACUGGGGGUAAUACCGUAUACGCCCUUUGGGGGAAAGAUUUAUCGGCGAAGGAUUAGCCCGCGUUGGAUUAGGUAGUUGGUGGGGUAAUGGCCUACCAAGCCGACGAUCCAUAGCUGGUUUGAGAGGAUGAUCAGCCACACUGGGACUGAGACACGGCCCAGACUCCUACGGGAGGCAGCAGUGGGGAAUCUUAGACAAUGGGGGCAACCCUGAUCUAGCCAUGCCGCGUGAGUGAUGAAGGCCUUAGGGUUGUAAAGCUCUUUCAGCUGGGAAGAUAAUGACGGUACCAGCAGAAGAAGCCCCGGCUAACUCCGUG